UCUAUCUAAGGCAAAAAAUGUCUUAUUGUGAUGACACGCGGUGUGUAUGUUCGGCUAGGUCUGGGCGGUAUGACGGUAUAUUUCGUUUCUGCGGAAUAAAAUGCCUACCGUUACAGAUUUUUCUAUUCCUUUCAUAACGUGAAAUUUAAAUUAGUGGGCGUGGUUAACCUCACGUGUAGCACGCCUGAAUCUGAGAAUGAUUGAGAAGUGGCACAUAAGCGUAGAUAAGAAGAAAAACACGGAGAAAGACAUGGAGAAAGACAUGCAUGCUGAUAAAGAAAUCCCACAAACCAAUCCCGAGCAGGAGGAGGAACUUGUUGUGAAAUGAGGCGCGACAUCAGUGGAAGAAAACAUUCAUUAUGCCAGUGUUCAGUACAAAAGAAAAUUCAGAUCUGCAAACAACAACUCAAGACCUGAUUUGGACAGUGUGACCUACGCAACAGUCGCAGAACAGCCACAGAGACACUGAACAACACAAUGUGUCUUUAUUUAUUUUAUUUAUUUUCUAAUACGUACAAUUAUUUAACAUAACUUUAUAUAAACAUAACUUUACAUGUUACCAAUAAAGAUAAGUGCUUAUUAAUAACUUUA